AACGAACGCUGGCGGCAGGCCUAACACAUGCAAGUCGAACGAGAUCUUCGGAUCUAGUGGCAGACGGGUGAGGAACACGUGGGAACAUCCCUUUCAGUUCGGAAUAACGUUGGGAAACUAACGCUAAUACCGGAUACGUCCUUCGGGAGAAAGAUUUAUCGCUGAAAGAUUGGCCCGCGUCUGAUUAGCUAGUUGGUGAGGUAAUGGCUCACCAAGGCUACGAUCAGUAGCUGAUCUGAGAGGAUGAUCAGCCUCACUGGGACUGAGACACGGCCCAGACUCCUACGGGAGGCAGCAGUGGGGAAUCUUGCGCAAUGGGCGAAAGCCUGACGCAGCCAUGCCGCGUGAAUGAUGAAGGUCUUAGGAUUGUAAAAUUCUUUCACCGGGGACGAUAAUGACGGUACCCGGAGAAGAAGCCCCGGCUAACUUCGUGCCAGCAGCCGCAGUAA
rnacentral:rRNA from 1 species